rnacentral:rRNA from 1 species
UGGCCUUGUGCCGGCGACAGGCUGAUCAAAUUUCUGCCCUAUCAACUAUGGAUGGUAGGAUAGAGGCCUACCAUGGUUAUAACGGGUAACGGAGAAUAAGGGUUCGAUUCCGGAGAGGGAGCCUGAGAAACGGCUACCACAUCCAAGGAUGGCAGCAGGCGCGCAAAUUACCCAAUCCUGACACAGGGAGGUAGUGACAAGAAAUAACAAUGCUUGGCUCACGUCUGGCGAUUUUAUGAGUGUAAUGUAAAUAGGUUCACAAAUGCAAUUGGAGGGCAAGUCUGGUGCCAGCAGCCGCGGUAAUUCCAGCUCCAAUAGCGUAUAUUAAAGUUGUUGCAAUUAAAAAACUCGUAGUUGGAAAUGCAGUGUGUGCUGGUGAGCAUAGAAAAAGGAAUGCUUGCCGUGACUGCGCACACUGGGCAUACGACGGGGUGGCCAUUAAGUUGGACUGCUAGUCGUGUAUGCCGACACGUUACUUUGACGAAAUUGGGGUGCUCAAAGCAGGCUCUGUCAGCCUGAACAUUUUAGCAUGGGAUAACAAGAGGAGCCGUCCUAUUUGUUGGUUACAUAGGUUAGCUCUUGGAUUAAUAGGGGCAGUUGGGGGCAUUAGUACUUGGAAGCUAGAGGUGAAAUUCUUGGAUUUUCCAAUGACUACCUAAUGCGAAGGCACUUGCCAAGGAUGUUCCCGUUAAUCAAGAAUGAAGGUCAAGUUAUCAAAAACGAUUAGAUACCGUUGUAGUCUUGACAGUAAACGAUGCCGACUAGGGAUUGGCAGCUGGAUGUAAAUAAAGGCUGCCAGCACCUUUAGCGAAAGCAAAGUUUUUGGGUUCUGGGGGGAGUAUGGUCGCAA